GGACGUAUCACAAGUGCGAAUGCUGACAUAAGUAACGAUAAAACGGGUGAAAAACCCGUUCGCCGGAAGACCAAGGGUUCCUGUCCAACGUUAAUCGGGGCAGGGUGAGUCGGCUCCUAAGGCGAGGCUGAAAAGCGUAGUCGAUGGGAAACAGGUUAAUAUUCCUGUACUUGGUAAAGCUGCGAUGUGGGGACGGAGUAGGUUAGGUUAUCGCACUGUUGGAUAUGUGCGUUUAAGUUGGUAGGUGGGAAGUUUAGGCAAAUCCGGACUUCCUUAACACAGAGAGAUGAUGACGAGGCUCUACGGAGCUGAAGUAACUGAUACCACACUUCCAGGAAAAGCCACUAAGCGAAAGGCUUUACUAAACCGUACUGAAAACCGACACAGGUGGUCAGGUAGAGAAUACUCAGGCGCUUGAGAGAACUCGGGUGAAGGAACUAGGCAAAAUAGCACCGUAACUUCGGGAGAAGGUGCGCCGGCGUAGAUUGUAGUCCCUAGCGGGCGAAGGUUGAACCGGUCGAAGAUACCAGCUGGCUGCAACUGUUUAUUAAAAACACAGCACUCUGCAAACACGAAAGUGGAGGUAUAGGGUGUGAUGCCUGCCCGGUGCUGGAAGGUUAAUUGAUGGUGUCAUCGCAAGAGAAGCACCUGAUCGAAGCCCCAGUAAACGGCGGCCGUAACUAUAACGGUCCUAAGGUAGCGAAAUUCCUUGUCGGGUAAGUUCCGACCUGCACGAAUGGCAUAAUGAUGGCCAGGCUGUCUCCACCCGAGACUCAGUGAAAUUGAAAUCGCCGUGAAGAUGCGGUGUACCCGCGGCUAGACGGAAAGACCCCGUGAACCUUUACUAUAGCUUGACACUGAACAUUGAAUUUUGAUGUGUAGGAUAGGUGGGAGCCUUUGAAGCAGUGACGCCAGUCAUUGUGGAGGCGACCUUGAAAUACCACCCUUUAACGUUUGAUGUUCUAACGAAGAUGACGAAACGUGGUCUCGGACAGUGUCUGGUGGGUAGUUUGACUGGGGCGGUCUCCUCCCAAAGCGUAACGGAGGAGCACGAAGGUUUGCUAAUCACGGUCGGACAUCGUGAGGUUAGUGCAAUGGUAUAAGCAAGCUUAACUGCGAGACAGACAAGUCGAGCAGGUACGAAAGUAGGUCAUAGUGAUCCGGUGGUUCUGAAUGGAAGGGCCAUCGCUCAACGGAUAAAAGGUACUCCGGGGAUAACAGGCUGAUACCGCCCAAGAGUUCAUAUCGACGGCGGUGUUUGGCACCUCGAUGUCGGCUCAUCACAUCCUGGGGCUGAAGUAGGUCCCAAGGGUAUGGCUGUUCGCCAUUUAAAGUGGUACGCGAGCUGGGUUUAGAACGUCGUGAGACAGUUCGGUCCCUAUCUGCCGUGGGCGUUGGAUGAUUGAUUGGGGCUGCUCCUAGUACGAGAGGACCGGAGUGGACGCAUCACUGGUGUUCCAGUUGUCUCGCCAGAGGCAUUGCUGGGUAGCUAAAUGCGGAAGAGAUAAGUGCUGAAAGCAUCUAAGCACGAAACUUGCCAAGAGAUGAGUCAUCCCUGACUUUAAGUCAGUAAGGGUUGUUGU
rnacentral:rRNA from 1 species